rnacentral:rRNA from 1 species
AUUGCCUACGGGACGCAGCAGUGGGGAAUAUUGCACAAUGGGGGGAACCCUGAUGCAGCGACGCCGCGUGAGCGAAGAAGUAUUUCGGUAUGUAAAGCUCUAUCAGCAGGGAAGAAAAUGACGGUACCUGACUAAGAAGCCCCGGCUAACUACGUGCCAGCAGCCGCGGUAAUACGUAGGGGGCAAGCGUUAUCCGGAUUUACUGGGUGUAAAGGGAGCGUAGACGGCAGCGCAAGCCUGGAGUGAAAGGAUGGGGCCCAACCCCA